UCCGAGUUGACCCCGGCAGUCUCUCAUGAGUCCCCAACCGAAUUGCUGGCAACAUGAGACAAGGGUUGCGCUCGUUGCGGGACUUAACCCAACAUCUCACGACACGAGCUGACGACAACCAUGCACCACCUGUGCACGGACCUUGCGGGGGAACCAUCUCUGGAACUUUCCCGUGCAUGUCAAGCCUUGGUAAGGUUCUUCGCGUUGCGACGAAUUAAACCGCACGCUCCGCUGCUUGUGCGGGCCCCCGUCAAUUCCUUUGAGUUUUAGCCUUGCGGCCGUACUCCCCAGGCGGGACACUUAUUGCGUUAGCUGCGGCACGGAGGGGGUCGAUACCCCCCACACCUAGUGUCCAUAGUUUACGGCGUGGACUAC
rnacentral:misc_RNA from 1 species